UAGCAAUCUAAUUACUGUUAGAAGCCACUACAACACUCAACAUUGGCUAGAGGUUGACAAAAAUUAUCAGUGCCUGCAAAGUUAGAACAUUUGAACAAAUAGUUACAGCUGUCUUGGAGAAUGCUCCACCACGACUUCAACAUGUUCUACAUUUCCAUCGCUGUCAGGUGCUGAUGUUGGGGCUCCGUUCUCAACUCUUGAUUGAGCAGCUGCAUUUUCCUCACUGCUUGGACCAGCAUUCUCUGUGCGCACAGGACGGAGAAAACCUUGCAACCUCAGCAGAUAGCUCUGGCUAGAAGGUUGGGAUCUCACAUACCGGGCUGCUGUCACAAUGUUGG
rnacentral:misc_RNA from 1 species